AGGAUCAGCGAAAAAGAUGCUGGAGGAAUAUGGUGGUUGGAAAAAGCAUCAUGCUUGCAUUACAUGUCCUUCUGUGUGGCAAAAUGAGCAGAGGAGAGAUGCAUGCGUGAGAGGUUGCGUGCAAAUGGCAGAGAUGACGAGUCUUUGUGUUGAGGGAAGGGGAUUCUUCUGAUCAGAGGUACUUAGCAGGGACUGAAGAUGCCAGAAAAAAGGCUAGGUUUAGAUAAAGGGACCAGAAGUUACUCAUCAUUACUUAACUGUGUAUCUGAAAUAUAGUCAUUAAGGAGGUUCUCAAAAUAAUAUUGGCUCAUAUGUAAGAUCUAUUUUCAUAUUGGAGCCCUCUGAAACUCCUGAAAAUUGAAUACAUAUUAAAAAAAUGGGACAUUAAAAAGAUGAACAACAUAAGACUACUAAAAAAUCAGCCGGGUGAAAAAGUAAGAGUUGACUAGGAUUUAACUGUAGUUUCUGUUUUAUAUGUCUGUAUAUAUGUAUGAGUGCUUCUGAACUGUUUCAUACUUGUUAACUAUGCUAUUUGAAGGCUUGGGUUCUGGAUGCAACGCCUGGAAAA
rnacentral:lncRNA from 1 species